rnacentral:lncRNA from 1 species
UUAGUUGCUACAGAGCUAGGAGAUCUUGGUGUAUAAUAAAAUAUAUUAAUAUGGAGGGGUUCCUUUGUCACCUGAUUUGAUAAGGUAUAUAGUACGGAAGUUUUUUUAUUUCAUAAUCAUAUUCUUGAUGUACUGUUUAACGUAUUUUCUUUUCAGAGAUUUGCCCUUCAAAUUUUCUUGUGAUAGCUAAUUGCCUUUCUGUAAAACUCUUUGUGCGGAUUAGUUGAUAUGAUCAAUGGUCAAACUGUUUGAGUUUCAAAAUCAUUUUAACAUUUCAAAUUUGGGGGUUGUAUAUAUACAACCGGAUAUCAUGUGUAUCAUGCAUAGCGAUCUACUUUGUUCUGUCUGUUAGCAUUAAUUAAUGUCUACUUCUUGAUUAUAUUUGAUAUACUUCAGAUAGUGAGCAUGAUUGUGGGGAUGGUGUGUAUGAGGAUUUUUUCCCCUUCUCCCAUUGGAACACGCAGGUAUAUUUGGGUUUAUAAUAUGGGUUGUUGCCCCAGUUGCUUUUGCUUGGCGAUAAUGGCAAUGCAGUUAUCACCAUGUUUGCACCGUUCUUCACAUGCACAUCCCUAGGCUCCUUAUGUUACUGUUCACCAUCACUGUUGAUUAUUUCUCCUUCUAUUCUGUUAUCCAAUAGGUAUUCUCUUACUACAUAUAAAUUUGGAGGACAAAGCAUUUAUUCUGUUGAUAUAUUAAACCCAAAUUGCUGACAUUUAUUCUGUUGAUAUAUUAAACCCCAAAUUGCUGACAUGUAACGUCUUCUAUCUGAAUUUGUUUCAUAAAAUUAAUCAUUGGUUUAGUUUGAUAGAUUAAACCCAAAUUAGUUUAUGGACUGAACUAGAAAUAACACAAUCACAUAUUAGUUUUCUUUUUAAAUUUCAUAGUAGAGAUUUAGCCGUCGAUGACCCACUACACGUGGAUGCCACAUCCUUUCUUCCUCACCUAUCGCGCGAAUUUUCAAUGCCGGUCCACUGCGAUCAGGGUGCUGGAGGCUCUUGGGCUUGCAGCUCGCAUGCUUGGAGGUAAGUUUUGUAGCCUCCCGUUGCAACGCACGGGCAUUUGUGCUAGUAAUAAUAAAGCACGGAUUGAGUCUCCGGAUUCACCGUCACGGUAGUUUUACAUUAAAGCCCUUGUGUUUUUCGUCCGCCGCGCCGUCCUCCCCGCACCUCGAGCGACCGCGUCUCCCACCCCCGUUUGGAUCCGCCGCCAUCCCGCAUCCUCCGCCGAGCCGUGCCGCCAUCAUCACCGCACCCGGCCUUUCUCCUCUCCGCCGCGCCCUCCUCUCCGCGCCGUUCGAGUCCACACACGGUUCGCCGACGAAGAGGCCCAGGCCGCCGCGCUCCGGGCCCGCGCCGGCCGGCUCGAGUGCGCGCCGCCCACCGCGACUAGCUGCUCAACACUCUCCUCGUCGCUACGGGCAACGGCCGUGAGGAGGAGGACGCGCGGGAGGCGCGACAGCGUCAGAAUCAGCCCGUCUGAUCCGACCGAGGCCUACGACGACACGGAUGUGGAGGCUCUGUCCGCCGCCGUCGCGCUAUAUGCCCUGCCCCUGCUCGCCGAGCCCUGCCUCUCGGUAUCUCCAUCCAUGUACGCUGCCGGGGACCCUGCAGGUCCAAGCUUGUCGGCGAGGGGGAGCGCAGACAGCAGCCUAGCCCGUCAUGGCGUCCACCAAGGUGCAGCGGAUCAUGACCCAGCCCGUCAACCCCAUCUUCCGCUUCCUCCAGAGCGUAAGCCUCUCCCUCCCUACCCACACAUUCCUUUCUUCUCCUUCCCCCGUUUCCUCAUGCUUGCGGUUUCGCUGACCUCGUUUCCUCUGCCGGAGCAGAAGGCGUGCAUCCAGAUCUGGCUCUUCGAGCAGAAGGACAAGCAGAUCGAGGGCAGGAUCAUCGUAAGUGGUUUCUAAUUUCGCUGAAAUUUUUUAUCCUGCAUUUUUGUGGGAGACAUUGCGUGGUAGUGGUGCUGCAAAGAAUUCCACUGUUUGGGGGAAGUUCAGGGGAGCUUCUGCUCUGUCAUUGGGAGGAAGAGUGCGCUUGUUAAAGCUGCGAGUCAUUGGUGCUCUGCGCUGUAGAUGGAAAAUGUGACAAUACUGUGUUGAAGUUUGUUAUAUCCAUACGAGGAGAUACAAGAUGUGGCACUCCUGUGCUGAAUUUCGUUAUGGCCACAUGAUAAGGAGAUAAAAAUGUUGAACUAACUGUAAGCAGGUUCUUGUAGUUGUCUUACUGCAUUUCCAUGUAAUCCUAAUCCAAUUUGCCAUAUCUUAUUGUCCAAGCAAACACAAUAUAAACACAUAUCAAAUGGAACAAAAGUAGCAAUCUCAGAGUGUUUGUUAAUGCACUGGACACCUCUUAUUGCUACUAAUUGAACUGCCAUGUGUCGACAUUAAGAAAAGUAGCUCUAAGCAUCUGCGGGAAACUUUGUUAAUUGGACGACACACUUGUUACACAAAGGAAGUUCUCUGAUAGCCUAUUGCUUGGUUCUAUAUUACUGGCAUUAUGCUUGCUAUUUCUAUUUAAAUACCCCAUAACUUAUUAGCUCCGUAUCUAUUCAUUUUUUCUGAAAAGAAUAACUGUUAUGAUCUAAAACUUUAGCAACUUACUGACGGCGAUCUGGAAUAAAAAUAAUAAGCAUUUCUGUUUGAGAAACCUACUUGAUAUGUUUCACUAAUUUCUGUUGUAGUAAAAUUGUCUAAUUACUUACAGAUUCUUCAUUUAGAUAAAACUAUGUAACACAUGAACUGGAAGCUACUUUAAUUGGAGGUCCAUAGGUUUAUUUCUGACUUACCAAAAACCAUAUCUGAUUUCAUUGUUGUAUGAUUCAUAAUCUUGAAGAUGUGUACCUUAUUUUACUCCAUUGCUUCUCGCCCUCUAAUAGGAUGACCCUUUAAUUAUUUGUUUAUGUAGACUUUGUUCCGUAGCAACGCACGAGUAAUUUACUAGAGCGAGCGGUGUCGUGGUGAUCUCGCUGGCGAGUGACAGGAGGAGGACGACGGGCUGAGCCGAAGGAGGGCGAGGCGUCCACAUGCAGGAGGCUCCCCGGCAGAUCGGGGAGACAGUGCCAAGGCAUCACACCUCCAUUUUCUCGAAGCAGGGCAUGUGUGCUAUUUCUAAAAAAAGAAGCUUCCCUGUUGGCUGGCAUCCCUGAUGCUACACAGGAAUUAUGUAGAAAAAGAAAUGGCAUGUCAUAAUUCUUUGGAUGUAGACCAGUAGGGUCAAUUACAAAUUGUUGGCUGUAAAUGACUUUCAGUUUCUAGCUUUCAUAAAAUUUAGAUUUAACAGUAUGAUGUGGUUGAUGGUGGUCCUAUCUGCUGGUUCAAAUUAUCAUGUUGGAUAAUAUUGCUUUUACUAGCAAUUGCAGUGUUCUUACUAUUUUAUUUCCACAAAUAUCAUCAUGUUUUGCUAUUGAUGUAAUGCUAUAUUUGUUGACUGAAAUUAAACCCUUCAGUUGCUGGCGUGGUGCUCUUAUUACUGUUAUAUUCCUUCACAGAAAGCAAACCUUGUUCAUGGCUAACUUAUAUUAU